rnacentral:rRNA from 1 species
UGGGGAAUAUUGGACAAUGGGCGAAAGCCUGAUCCAGCCAUGCCGCGUGUGUGAAGAAGGCCUUUUGGUUGUAAAGCACUUUAAGCGAGGAGGAGGCUACUUGGAUUAAUACUCUAGGAUAGUGGACGUUACUCGCAGAAUAAGCACCGGCUAACUCUGUGCCAGCAGCCGCGGUAAUACAGAGGGUGCGAGCGUUAAUCGGAUUUACUGGGCGUAAAGCGUGCGUAGGCGGCUUUUUAAGUCGGAUGUGAAAUCCCUGAGCUUAACUUAGGAAUUGCAUUCGAUACUGUGAAGCUAGCGUAUGGGAGAGGAUGGUAGAAUUCCAGGUGUAGCGGUGAAAUGCGUAGAGAUCUGGAGGAAUACCGAUGGCGAAGGCAGCCAUCUGGCCUAAUACUGACGCUGAGGUACGAAAGCAUGGGGAGCAAACAGG